GUCGGCCGACAGCGCAUAUCUGCCACCUCGUUGCUGCUGCCGCACCGUCACUAUGGUGAAGAAAAUGGCGGCAGACAAGUCGAGCACACCUCUCCAGCUCACCAUGCUGCUCAUAGCCCUUGUCUGCUGCAUUAGUGGCGUCACAACGUCCGCUGCUAGCGGUACAUCGUCGUCAUCAAUGGGAUGCUCCUCAUGUUCAGCCAACUAUGUGUGUGGCAACUCAACGCUUGGCACAUGCGAAUGCUUAUGGCCGUUCAUCGAGGAAAACGACGCUUGUACUCCCUAUACAGAGGAAUGUCAAUCUAAUGCUUGUCCCAUAGUUACUAGCUCACCUCGACUUUUCCAACACGGUCUACCGCUAUACUACAAAAAGGGAAAGCUCAACACCG